UACAGAGGGGGCAAGCGUUGUUCGGAAUUACUGGGCGUAAAGGGCGCGUAGGCGGCCGCCUAAGUCAGACGUGAAAUCCCUCGGCUCAACCGGGGAACUGCGUCUGAUACUGGGUGGCUUGAAUCCGGGAGAGGGAUGCGGAAUUCCAGGUGUAGCGGUGAAAUGCGUAGAUAUCGGGAGGAACACCGGUGGCGAAGGCGGCAUCCUGGACCGGCAUUGACGCUGAGGCGCGAAAGCCAGGGGAGCAAACGGG
rnacentral:rRNA from 1 species